UUUACUUGCCGCGAACUUUGUUACCGAUUCACACACGCUCACAAUAUAACCAGUAAACAACCUUGGGUGAAUGUGGCGAAUGCCUUCCUCGAGGAUGAAUAUGCCAUUGAUGAAAUUAUUGGUACACAGACUUUCUAAGCACGCAGAGUUGCUUUUGUGAAACAAAAAAUAAUUAGCUCAAAAUAGUUUCAAAAAUUAUAGUGUAAAACAAAAUUUAUUGAAUAAUUCUACAUAAAAUUGUAAAUGACUUACCAUGUAAACUAUUGGAGUAAAACUUGUUUCAUUACCGUUUUUGUGCAAAAUGAAAACGACUAUCUGAACGUUCGAAGCGCUGCAAUGAGCAACUACAGAAAAAAUACUGCUCUGGUGUUACUGCUGCCGUGGUGAAUAUAUGUUUCUAUUUAUUUUUCUUCUGUUUACGCGAAAAACAAUGCAGCAAGAACAAGGAAUAUGGCUGAGGUAGGCUUAAACAUCUUGGCGAUGGGCUGUUUACCUGCUGGCAAGGCGUAUUUAACAAGGUGGUGUUGGCCGUAUAUAAGUAAAAAAUUACACUAACAAAUUAUACGCUGAUGUCCAUACUGUCGGUGGUAUGAGUUACAACAAACACAUCAUUUUGACGUAAUGGCCUCCACGGCGAAAAACUCAGCUGUCGCCCCAACACCACCUUGUUUAAUACACCAUGCCUGCUGGAUACUUGCAAUCUCAUUUGUAAAAGUAUACGAAAUAUUUCUUUUUGAGUGAAUUUAAAACUAAAGGAAUAAACUGCUUAAGAUUUCGGGCAGCUGUUUCUCGCAAGUUCAAGUGUACGAAGAUCGCUGAGGGUCAAUGGGAAAGCCUUUUGGAUAAUUGAACCGAAAUUUCUGCAACAUGAAUUAACAUGAACCAAUGCCAUAAGUCUCUGGUGAUGACCAUGACUUUGUUGUGGAAAUAAUAUGUACAUAUAUUAUAAUACAAUUGAAAUUAUACCUCACUUGAUUUUUGUUAUAUAGCGGACCUGUUUAAAUUCUUAUUGAGGGCCUGUGCCAAUUAAUAGAAAAGUACUCGGGAUGGUAAAUUUUUGAUAACUAUGGGGUGAAUGAAAAUUUCCAAGCCGAGCAAGAAUCACACCUGCCUGACGGUUUUGAAGUGGUUUUGGUUUAAUAAACGAAUGGCUUUCAGUUCUAGAAGAAUUAAAGUCAGUAAAGACAUAUUUUUUUUACAUAAUUUCUGCAUUUUAAUUGCUAAACACUUUUGCACCAGAGCAACUGUUCAAAAUUUCCAGCAGUAAAAAGUUACGAAUUGGCACCGCAGAAAUGUAUUAGUUUCUUACCAUAGUAAAAAGUUUUUUCACCAUAGCACUUUUCUACUCAUUUGCACUGGCCCAGAGUAAUACAAUGUUUUAAAUGAAAAAAUAAUAACUUCUUCAUCACUUUCUUAAAAUUUUAAA